GUUUGCGGGCCUAGGGUUCCGGCGGAAACGACGCCGUUGUAAUGUUUGCUUCAAGGUUUUCGGUAAAAUCAACGGCGUCCAAAGGUUUGCUCGUUGAUUUUGUAGAACUAGGGUUUUCGGUAGAAAGGACGCCGUUAGAAGUUUUGCUGGGUUUUGGUGAACGGCGACGUUGAAAGGGGUUGGAUGUUUGACGGGGUUAAGAGGAGGAGAGGCCGAUGCGGUGCGAUUUGGAAGAGGGGUCUUUGGAGGAGCGAUCGAAGUGGUGGAGGAGAGAGGCGGCGCCGGUGGUGGAGGUGGCAGUGGUAGUUGCGGCGGCGGCGGCGGCGGCGGAGCGUUUGCGGGCUUCUUCGAGCUCUUCUUUGUCUUCGACCUUGACCUCGAUUUUGCUGGGUUUUCUUCUCAGCAUCUCUCUCUCUCUCUCUCUCUCUCUCUCUCUCUCUCUCUCUCACCUGAUCCUUUGUUUUCGUCU